ACUCUCAUACUGCAGUGCACGUUAGUCAUAACAGUUGAUAGCUUGAACUACUGUUGCGACAUAUUAUAGCAUGAAAAUAAGUAAUAUUAAUAUGUGAAAUGGCUUUUUUCGCAAGUUCUUUGUCUAGAUUUCGUUAUUAAAUUUAACAAUAAGAAACGUGUGAUGAUAACGACACCAGACUGACUUGCAGUACAUGAGAGCAUUACUGGUGUAACGUACUCAAACUUCCCAGCAGGACUAAACGUCUCAGUUCAAACUUCCGAUGGAAUAGUUAGCUUUGUUCGCAACACUAUUCAAAAUGUUUAGAAGUAAAACAAGAUGCUGACAGACACGUGUCAAGUAUCCUUGGUAAAAAUCAAGGAUGAAAGAGAGGUGAAGAGCCUAACAGAAAGAGACCAUGGACUGUGUGGCUCUUCUACCCAGCUUGCAGGUCUGGAAAACAGGGCAGCUUUCUAUUGGAACCAUUUCCUAUGUUGAGUCGACUUGAUGUGUAAACCAGAGAAGUCCAGCACCCAAGAUGAAGCUAUUUGAUGACGGCAGUAAUUUUGACUUGCCUCCCCAUGAUGUACAAACAUUGCUGAAAGAAGCCAGGUUUGAUCAUCAGUCAUCGCCAUGAAAGAGGGACGAUACAAGAAAGCUGUGCGUUGUUUUCACAGCAUCGCCACACCUUGGGUAUCAUUUCACAUGCCUACUGCUGUGCCAGUUUAAAAGAAAAAAAUGAAUAAACUCUUUGUCAACUGAUAUGUGCUGGACUUGUGCAAUCAAAACAGACAGGGGAAGUAGCAGUAAAAUAAAUUACCCAGCCAUACUGUAUUAUAUAACAUAUAAGAGUUAGUAUAGGUAAGGAAAAAUGUGGAAAGUUACAGCAUUUCAGUCCCCGGAAAAGUCAGUGUUUAAAGAAAUUCUUUAAAAAAUCUGGAAAUUUUCUAAAAAUUAUGGGCCAAUGAGCCAUGUGAUUAGUCACUCGUGACUUAAUCUCCAGCCCACAUGGCUUUAGGUUGUCAUCUGCUCGAUGUGAAGACUCCGCAUAUAACAGUUUGUGGCACGAAAAUAAGCAGUAACCAGUGAAAGUGGAAAAUAAUAUCAGGUCAGGACAUAGCAUGGAACUCUUAUAAAUC
rnacentral:lncRNA from 1 species